rnacentral:rRNA from 1 species
CAGCAGCCGCGGUAAUACGUAGGUCCCGAGCGUUGUCCGGAUUUAUUGGGCGUAAAGCGAGCGCAGGCGGUUAGAUAAGUCUGAAGUUAAAGGCUGUGGCUUAACCAUAGUACGCUUUGGAAACUGUUUAACUUGAGUGCAAGAGGGGAGAGUGGAAUUCCAUGUGUAGCGGUGAAAUGCGUAGAUAUAUGGAGGAACACCGGUGGCGAAAGCGGCUCUCUGGCUUGUAACUGACGCUGAGGCUCGAAAGCAUGGGAAGCAAACAGGAUUAGAUACCCGGGUAGUCCCUGUCUCUUAUACA